AACGAACGCUGGCGGCAUGCCUAACACAUGCAAGUCGAACGAGACCUUCGGGUCUAGUGGCGCACGGGUGCGUAACGCGGGGGAACCUGCCCUUAGGUUCGGAAUAACUCCCCGAAAGGGGUGCUAAUACCGGAUAAUGUCUUCGGACCAAAGAUUUAUCGCCUUUGGAUGGGCCCGCGUUGGCUUAGCUAGUUGGUAGGGUAAAAGCCUACCAAGGCGACGAUCCAUAGCUGGUCUGAGAGGAUGAUCAGCCACACUGGGACUGAGACACGGCCCAGACUCUUACGGGAGGCAGCAGUGGGGAAUAUUGGACAAUGGGCGAAAGCAUGAUCCAGCAAUGCCGCGUGAGUGAUGAAGGCCUUAGGGUUGUAAAGCUCGUUUACCCGGGAUGAUAAUGACAGUACCGGGAGAAUAAGCACCGGCUAACUCCGUG
rnacentral:rRNA from 1 species